rnacentral:rRNA from 1 species
UGGAGAGUUUGAUCCUGGCUCAGGACGAACGCUGGCGGCGUGCUUAACACAUGCAAGUCGAACGAUGAUGCUCCAGCUUUGUUGGGGUGGAUUAGUGGCGAACGGGUGAGUAACACGUGAGUAACCUGCCCUCUUCUUUGGGAUAACGGUCGGAAACGGCUGCUAAUACUGGAUAUUCACUCAUUGGCGCAUGUUGGUGGGUGGAAAGGUUUUUUCUGGUGGGGGAUGGGCUCGCGGCCUAUCAGCUUGUUGGUGGGGUGAUGGCCUACCAAGGCUUUGACGGGUAACCGGCCUGAGAGGGUGACCGGUCACAUUGGGACUGAGAUACGGCCCAGACUCCUACGGGAGGCAGCAGUGGGGAAUUUUGCACAAUGGGCGCAAGCCUGAUGCAGCGACGCCGCGUGAGGGAUGAAGGCCUUCGGGUUGUAAACCUUUUUCGCUCAUGGUCAAGCCGCAGCUUUGGGUUGUGGUGAGGGUAGUGGGUAAAGAAGCGCCGGCUAACUACGUGCCAGCAGCCGCGGUA